GACGAACGCUGGCGGCGUGCCUAAUACAUGCAAGUCGAACGCAGUGGGGACGGGUGAGUAACACGUGGGUAACCUCCCAUCAGAGGGGAUAACACUUGGAAACAGGUGCUAAACCGAUACUGAUGGAUGGACCCGCGGUGCAUUAGCUAGUUGGUGAGGUAACGGCUCACCACGGCCACGAUGCAUAGGAGACCGGAGAGGGUGAUGGGCAAAACUGGGACGGGGAAACGGCCCAGAAUACUAAGGGAGGGAGCAGUAGGGAAUCUUCGGCAAUGGACGAAAGUUUUACCGAGCAACGACGAGGGAGUGAAGAAGGUUUUCGGAUCGUAAAACUCUGUUGUUAGAGAAGCGGUAUCUAACCGGAAAGCCACGGCUAACGACGUGCCAGCAGCCGCGGUAAUAC
rnacentral:rRNA from 1 species